UACGUAGGGGGCAAGCGUUGUCCGGAAUCAUUGGGCGUAAAGAGCGUGUAGGCGGGCGGGCAAGUACCUUGUGAAAUCCCACGGCUCAACCGUGGAACGGCUGGGUAUACUGCCUGUCUUGAGCCAACUAGGGGCGAGCGGAACAGACGGUGGAGCGGUGAAAUGCGUAGAUAUCGUCUGGAACGCCAAAGGUGAAAACAGCUCGCUGGGGUUGUGCUGACGCUGAGACACGAAAGCCAGGGGAGCGAACGGG
rnacentral:rRNA from 1 species